UCCUCUGCAGUCCAGUGGUUAGGCCUUGGCGCUUUCACUGCCUAGGGCACAGGUUCGAUCCCUGGUUGGGGAA
rnacentral:tRNA from 1 species